AUUUAAUGCAGAUUCUUCAGCCCACUUGGAAUGGUUCCAGUAAUUACAUUAGUUGGUUUUGGUUUAUUUCACAGAGGCUUUCCUGUGGUGGGGACUUGUGUUGAAAUUGGAACUCCCAUGCUAAUCAUGUUUAUAAUCUUCUCCCAGUACUUGAAAAACUUUCAGACAAGACAUUUGCCGAUACUAGAGCGAUUUGCGCUGCUCAUAUCGACAACGGUGAUAUGGGCAUAUGCACAUC